rnacentral:rRNA from 1 species
GGUCAAGUUAUUAAGGGUGCAGGGCGGAUGCCUUGGCACUAGGAGCCGAUGAAGGACGUGAUAAGCUGCGAUAAGCUUCGGGGAGUUGCACGUAAACUUUGAUCCGAAGAUUUCCGAAUGAGGAAACUCACUUAGAGUAAUGUCUAAGUAUCAUUAAGUGAAUACAUAGCUUAAUGAGGGGAACUCAGGGAACUGAAACAUCUAAGUACCUGAAGGAAGAGAAAGAAAUUCGAUUCCGUAAGUAGCGGCGAGCGAACGCGGAUUAGCCCAAACCAAUAAAGUUUUCUUUAUUGGGGUUGCGGACAUAUCAUAACGAAGAGGUAUCGUAAUUGAAGAGGUUUGGAAAGACCCACCACAGAAGGUAAUAGUCCUGUAUGUUAAACGAGAAGACUUUAGAU